rnacentral:rRNA from 1 species
UAGGGAAUCUUCCGCAAUGGACGAAAGUCUGACGGAGCAACGCCGCGUGAGUGAUGAAGGUUUUCGGAUCGUAAAGCUCUGUUGUUAGGGAAGAACAAGUGCCGUUCAAAUAGGGCGGCACCUUGACGGUACCUAACCAGAAAGCCACGGCUAACUACGUGCCAGCAGCCGCGGGAAUACGUAGGUGGCAAGCGUUGUCCGGAAUUAUUGGGCGUAAAGGGCUCGCAGGCGGUUUCUUAAGUCUGAUGUGAAAGCGCCCGGCUCAACCGGGGAGGGUCAUUGGAAACUGGGGAACUUGAGUGCAGAAGAGGAGAGUGGAAUUCCACGUGUAGCGGUGAAAUGCGUAGAGAUGUGGAGGAACACCAGUGGCGAAGGCGACUCUCUGGUCUGUAACUGACGCUGAGGAGCGAAAGCGUGGGGAGCGAACA